UACGAAGGGAGCUAGCGUUGUUCGGAAUUACUGGGCGUAAAGCGCACGUAGGCGGCUUUCUAAGUCGGGGGUGAAAUCCUGGAGCUCAACUCCAGAACUGCCUUCGAUACUGGAGAGCUUGAGUCCGGGAGAGGUGAGUGGAACUGCGAGUGUAGAGGUGAAAUUCGUAGAUAUUCGCAAGAACACCAGUGGCGAAGGCGGCUCACUGGCCCGGUACUGACGCUGAGGUGCGAAAGCGUGGGGAGCAAACAGG
rnacentral:rRNA from 1 species